GACGAACGCUGGCGGCGUGCUUAACACAUGCAAGUCGAACGGUAAGGCCCUUCGGGGUACACGAGUGGCGAACGGGUGAGUAACACGUGGGUGAUCUGCCCUGCACUUCGGGAUAAGCCUGGGAAACUGGGUCUAAUACCGGAUAGGACCACUGCCUGCAUGGGUGGUGGUGGAAAGCUUGUGCGGUGUGGGAUGGGCCCGCGGCCUAUCAGCUUGUUGGUGGGGGGAUGGCCUACCAAGGCGACGACGGGUAGCCGGCCGGAGAGGGUGACCGGCAGAACUGGGACUGAGAUACGGCCCAGACUCCUACGGGAGGCAGCAGUGGGGAAUAUUGCUCAAUGGGCGCAAGCCUGAUGCAGCGACGCCGCGUGAGGGAUGACGGCCUUCGGGUUGUAAACCUCUUUCAGCACCGACGAAGCGCAAGUGACGGUAGGUGCAGAAGAAGGACCGGCCAACUACGUGCCAGCAGCCGCGGUAA
rnacentral:rRNA from 1 species